CUCUUAAAGAGGUUUUAUUAAGUGCAAGACUGUUUCUUUAAAGGAUGUAAUGGCAGAUUAUGACCACUAGGGGUAUGUUUUCACCAAAUAAGGGAUACUGGCAUCACACUGCCUCUGGCACUGAAUUAAAGGACACAAAAUGGCAGAGCCAACCGACCACUGUACAAAGAUGUGAAAUUUCAGAUUAACCACAAGAACUUGAUGACACAUUUCUGCAACAUUUGAACAAAGAGAUUUGAUAUUCCACGGCCAGAUUUUGCAAGGAAAUACCAAAGAGAGCGAGAAACUUGACCAACUUGAACAGGAUGCUAUUCAAGAAAAACAAACUGAGAAGUUCUAACUGUGUAAGAACCCCCUUGAAAGGAGGAAUGCCAGC